rnacentral:misc_RNA from 1 species
GAUGAAGAACGCAGCGAAAUGCGAUAAUUAAUGUGAAUUACAGAAUUCCGUGAAUCAUCGAGUCUUUGAACGCACAUUGCGCCUCAUGGCAUUCCGUGAGGCAUGCCCAUCUCAGCGUUAGAAAAUAUUCUCAAAUUUUAGUUUUGUGCUAAAAUUUGGAUCAUGUCAAGGAAGCUAUUACUAUUAUUGUGAUCGCUCUUUGGAAAUUGAUAGGUCUUUGAGUUGCUACUCAUAGAACGUGAUGAAUCUUUCUUCGUUCUAUUGUAAUGCACUCUGGUAGUCCUAAAACUUGUAUGCCUGUGGCAUAUCUUGUAAUUUGACCUGAGAUUGGGUAGGGAUACCCGCUGAACUUAAGCAUAUCAAUAAGCGGAGGA